UAUUGGACAAUGGGGGCAACCCUGAUCCAGCAAUGCCGCGUGUGUGAAGAAGGCCUGAGGGUUGUAAAGCACUUUCAGUGGGGACGACGGUUGACAGGUUAAGAGCUAGUUAAUUGGACGUUACCCACAGAAGAAGCACCGGCUAACUCCGUGCCAGCAGCCGCGGUAAUACGGAGGGUGCGAGCGUUAAUCGGAAUUACUGGGCGUAAAGGGUGCGUAGGUGGUUUAUUAAGUUAGCUGUGAAAUUCCUGGGCUUAACCUGGGCAGGUCAGCUAAGACUGGUAGACUCGAGUAUGGGAGAGGGUAGUGGAAUUUCCGGUGUAGCGGUGAAAUGCGUAGAGAUCGGAAGGAACACCAGGGCGAAGGCGGCUACCUGCCUUAUACUACACGAGGCACGAAA
rnacentral:rRNA from 1 species